AAUAUACAUCAUAAGCUCUCCAAAACCUCACCCUAUACAACAUCUACUCUCAAAAUGUAUAACCAAAAGUACAGGGUAGAGCUAAUGCAAGUAGGGAAGGUAAAGCUAUCAACCAACUGCUAGGGCGCUAUGCCCUUGCCGCGAUCCAUCGACGAAGGCCCGCUGUCCUGUGUACCUGUACCCCCAAAGCCACACGGGGGUGAGAACUACGAAUAGUUCCCAGUGGGUUCGGCCGCCGACUCCGCCGAUCUACCCACUAGGUCUCAAGUAGGCAUAGAGAGAUAUAUAUGCAGUAUAUAUAUAAAACUAAGCUGAACGGAAAGCGGGUAUGUAAACAACUAUAUCAAGCUAUGCCUCAAUCUGGAAUCAUGAAUGCAUGAACAAUAAACAAAGCUGGGUAAGUAAGCAACUAUCAACAUCUACAACAGCUAUCAUAGUAACUAUAAAACAUGCUACUAGGUAAGCAAGUAAGCUGAUAUGAACAAUGAAUAGCUACUAUGAACAUCAAUCAUGGGUAAGACUCAAUGGGUAACCCAAUCUCCAAAUGAACACAAGGUUCACAAGUAAGGCUCACAUAUCAAUCUCCUAGGGAUGUCGAGCUGGACUAUCCCCGAGUACGCCUGCGGAUAACAAGCGGCUAUCCGAGCAGCAAGCAGGGCUGCCUCUCUAGUGACCAAACUCCGGAGCGCACAACUUGAGGGGAGCGACCCCACCAAGCGCAGACAGGCAAUGUGAGCAAGAUCAUCUCAUGAGCAACAACAACAACCCUUUGAGGGUAAUAUCAUCAUGGAAGCAAG
rnacentral:lncRNA from 1 species